ACGCUCGACACCUACGGGAGCAGCAGUAGGGAAUCUUCCACAAUGGACGCAGGUCUGAUGGAGCAACGCCGCGUGAGUGAAGAAGGUUUUCGGAUCGUAAAGCUCUGUUGUUGGUGAAGAAGGAUAGAGGUAGUAACUGGCCUUUAUUUGACGGUAAUCAACCAGAAAGUCACGGCUAACUACGUACCAGCAGCCGCCGGUAAUACUGAGCGGGCGUGGCAAGGC
rnacentral:rRNA from 1 species